GCCAGACUCCUACGGGAGGCAGCAGUGGGGAAUAUUGCACAAUGGGGGGAACCCUGAUGCAGCGACGCCGCGUGGGUGAAGGAGUAUUUCGGUAUGUAAAGCCCUAUCAGCAGGGAAGAACAAUGACGGUACCUGACUAAGAAGCACCGGCUAAAUACGUGCCAGCAGCCGCGGUAAUACGUAUGGUGCAAGCGUUAUCCGGAUUUACUGGGUGUAAAGGGAGCGUAGACGGCAGUGCAAGUCUGGAGUGAAAGGCGGGGGCUCAACCCCCGGACUGCUCUGGAAACUGUACGGCUGGAGUGCAGGAGAGGUAAGUGGAAUUCCUAGUGUAGCGGUGAAAUGCGUAGAUAUUAGGAGGAACACCAGUGGCGAAGGCGGCUUACUGGACUGUAACUGACGUUGAGGCUCGAAAGCGUGGGGAGCAAACAGGAUUAGAUACCCCAGUA
rnacentral:rRNA from 1 species